GGAGGGUCUGUAUCUCAGUGGUAUAGCAUCUGCUUGGCAUGCAGAAAGUCCCAGGUUCAACUCCUGGCAUUUCCA
rnacentral:tRNA from 1 species